rnacentral:tRNA from 1 species
CAGAUUAUAGCUUAUUACAAAGUUGAUUAGUUACAUUAAUUAGAAGGUUUAUUAAUUUAUUCUGA